AGGGUUCUUCCAUCGGUCGGCCACCUAGAGAAAGCAGACAAUUAGAGUUGGGUGUUUAUUUCAUGAGGAUGGUCGAGUGGUUUCGGAUAGGGAGGCUAUGCUUGAUGUGGCAACUAUGUACUUUGAUGAUUUGUUCUAUUCACAGGGACAGGAUGAUUCCCACCGUAUCUUAGAGGGGAUUGCUCCUUGUAUUAUAGAUGAUAUGAAGCUGCAUUUUUGGCCCGG
rnacentral:lncRNA from 1 species